GAUGAACGCUGGCGGCGUGCCUAAUACAUGCAAGUCGAGCGAACGGACGAGAAGCUUGCUUCUCUGAUGUUAGCGGCGGACGGGUGAGUAACACGUGGAUAACCUACCUAUAAGACUGGGAUAACUUCGGGAAACCGGAGCUAAUACCGGAUAAUAUUUUGAACCGCAUGGUUCAAAAGUGAAAGACGGUCUUGCUGUCACUUAUAGAUGGAUCCGCGCUGCAUUAGCUAGUUGGUAAGGUAACGGCUUACCAAGGCAACGAUGCAUAGCCGACCCGAGAGGGUGAUCGGCCACACUGGAACUGAGACACGGUCCAGACUCCUACGGGAGGCAGCAGUAGGGAAUCUUCCGCAAUGGGCGAAAGCCUGACGGAGCAACGCCGCGUGAGUGGUGAAGGUCUUCGGAUCGUAAAACUCUGUUAUUAGGGAAGAACAUAUGUGUAAGUAACUGUGCACAUCUUGACGGUACCUAAUCAGAAAGCCACGGCUAACUACGUG
rnacentral:rRNA from 1 species